UGUGCGUGACGUCUGCACAUACCUCCGACCAGUCGUACAUGAUCUCAGCGGUGAUCCCUGCUGUCCACAACUUCUGGAUUAUGCUGCAAGAAUCUCCGGGACGAUCCUCUGCCGGCGCUUAAUGUACGCUACGAACUGAAACACGAUCCCGCUGUGCUGCUGCAUCUUAUACACAAGCCCAAAGUUCACAACCACCUAGAGGUGAAAGAAAGUGGAGUGCCGGUUGUUUCUGCACCCUUGGAACGCAAAUCCAGCCCUAAAUAUGAGUUCCAG